GCCCCUGUAGUGUAGUGGUUAUCACGUCUCCUUUACACGGAAAAGGUCCCCGGUUCGAACCCGGGCGGGGGCA
rfam:Anncaliia algerae PRA109 cont4.1417, whole genome shotgun sequence.